GGAGGCUCAGACAAGAGCUGUUGCAUAUGGAUAAGGACAAGAAGCCCUUGGACAAAGUUCUGGGUUAACUGCCUUCAGCCCAUAAUGUAUGACGAAAGACCCAAAGGUUCACUUGACUAUGUAAGCCACCUCCAAGGUUAAUCUGACCCUGUCAGUGAGUUUGGUGAAGAGCUUGUCUCUGAGAACUUGGCAGGAGUUGUUAUAAACCUUGUUGCCAUUAAUAUCUUGCUGGGAAUGGCAGAUGUAGUGUUGCAAACAGCAACUUCAGAGGAUGAAAAUUUGGAGACGAGAAGGGGAAGGGCACAAGGUGUCUAGCAUGUGCACAGGCAGGCAGAGAGACAUAAGCAGAAGCACCUGAGGCCCAGGACACAUCAGACCCUAAGCACCCUCCAGCACAGCCAGCCAUAGUGCUGUGGGGCUGGGGGCUUCUUAGGGGCAUGGGGGCUUCCCAUGGGGGCUCAGGGCAGGCCCUAGCAGCCAGACCUGUCCCACCACCGUAGCCAGCAGCAGGGCAGCUGGGAGCACCAUGGCAGCCCUGGCCCUGAAACUGGGCACCUCCCUGGGGUGGGCCCAUCCUGGGCUAGGACAUGGGGACAUGGGGAUGGGGAUGGGCCCGGCCGGGAGGGAGCCCUGGCCCAGCUGUGGCCUCAGUGGGGCAGGAGCUGGUGGCCCCAAGGCUGAUGUGUGGCUCUGGACCUGGGGAAGGCCUCAGGGGCUGAAAUGGAGUGCUGGAGGUCCUGGUGGGGCUGGCCGGGGACAGUCAGGCCUGGUGGUACCUUCAGGGCAAGUGACUCCUUUCUUCUUCUCAAGAGAUGCCAGAAGAAAAAGAAGAAUGAAAUUCCCUUUGAUAUGGACAUACCUGUGAAGACCUGAGAACUGGACUCAGGGAAAGGGAAGCAUAGUCCUUGUUCCCUCUCUUAGUAACAAAACUGGAUUGACCCAAAACAUGUUUUUAUACAUCCAUUUGCAUAUUAGCUAUAUUAUUUCACCUUAUACAAAAUCUGUUCCAUAUGUUCAGUCCUACAGGUGCCACUGGCUUCAUUGGGAGCAGGAUUGGUUUCCUGUCUUGGACUAUCUGAUCAACAAGCAAUAAAACUGUGAGUGUGUCCUAGGCCCA
rnacentral:lncRNA from 1 species